GAUGAACGCUAGCGGCAGGCUUAACACAUGCAAGUCGAGGGGUAGAAGUUACUUGUAACUUUGAGACCGGCGCACGGGUGCGUAACGCGUAUGCAACCUACCUUUUACGGGGGGAUAGCCCAGAGAAAUUUGGAUUAAUACCCCAUGGUAUAAUAGAAUGGCAUCAUUUUAUUAUUAAAAUUCCAACGGUAAAAGAUGGGCAUGCGUCCUAUUAGCUAGAUGGUAAGGUAACGGCUUACCAUGGCUACGAUAGGUAGGGGUCCUGAGAGGGAGAUCCCCCACACUGGUACUGAGACACGGACCAGACUCCUACGGGAGGCAGCAGUGAGGAAUAUUGGACAAUGGGCGCAAGCCUGAUCCAGCCAUGCCGCGUGCAGGAAGACGCAUCUAUGGUGUGUAAACUGCUUUUGUACGGGAAGAAACACCCCUUCGUGAAGGGACUUGACGGUACCGUAAGAAUAAGGAUCGGCUAACUCCGUGCCAGCCGCCGCUGUAAGAC
rnacentral:rRNA from 1 species